UUUGCCGGUCGCGUACGCUGGUACGUGCCGUGCUUGCCCUGCAGGCUAUGCGGCAUGCCUCAAUGCCUUCGCUGCCGCUUAGCUGGUGCGUUCUAAUUGCCAAGAGCCUCUACUGACGCCCAUACAAACAAGCCACAAGGUUGCCUCGUGCCACCAAACUGCGGAAAAGCCUCCCGGAAAACAUGGUUAUCAUUCGCCAUCUGCAAACCUUCAGAGCACCCAAAACUAGCGUUCUCUAACAAUUCCUAAAAAGUUGUAUUAGUAGUUUGCCUUAAUUGUUCUCGCAAAGAAAUUCGAUGAAAUAUGUCUUAUUCC